UACGUAGGGUGCGAGCGUUGUCCGGAAUUACUGGGCGUAAAGAGCUCGUAGGUGGUUUGUCGCGUUGUUCGUGAAAACUCACAGCUCAACUGUGGGCGUGCGGGCGAUACGGGCAGACUGGAGUACUGCAGGGGAGACUGGAAUUCCUGGUGUAGCGGUGAAAUGCGUAGAUAUCAGGAGGAACACCGAUGGCGAAGGCAGCUCGCUGGGACGGUACUGACGCUGAGGCGCGAAAGCGUGGGGAGCGAACAGG
rnacentral:rRNA from 1 species